GCCAGGCCAGGGCGCAGAACGCUUGCAUAAGAAGAGAAGGAACCGAUACCAAAAUACCCAAUUGACUUCACCAAGAUAGCCCAUGCAACCAAAAUAAUGCUGUGAUGGAGAUCUCCCUCAAGGCAGAAAGGGAACCCCGCAUUUCCAGAAUGGCUAUUUUCAGAGGACAAAAGCAGAAUGGAGAAGUUUCAACUGGCACCUAACCAAAGAGCCUACUAAAUGCCUGGACCAUGAAUUCCUUGAGGACCUACACCUGGAACAAUGCCUAUGUCCC